rnacentral:rRNA from 1 species
UACGGAGGAUCCAAGCGUUAUCCGGAUUUAUUGGGUUUAAAGGGUGCGUAGGUGGCUUUUUAAGUCAGGGGUGAAAGACGGUAGCUUAACUAUCGCAGUGCCUUUGAUACUGAAGAGCUUGAAUACACUAGAGGUAGGCGGAAUGUGACAAGUAGCGGUGAAAUGCAUAGAUAUGUCACAGAACACCAAUUGCGAAGGCAGCUUACUAUGGUGUUAUUGACACUGAGGCACGAAAGCGUGGGGAGCGAACAGG